ACCGGUGUAGCUCAGUUGGAUAGAGCAACUCCCUUCUAAGGAGUAGGUCGGAGGUUCGAAUCCUCUCACCGGUA
rfam:Microgenomates (Roizmanbacteria) bacterium GW2011_GWC2_41_7 TT78_C0020, whole genome shotgun sequence.